GCUAGCGGCAGGCCUAAUACAUGCAAGUCGAGGGGUAACAGGAAGUGCUUGCACUUCGCUGACGACCGGCGCACGGGUGAGUAUCGCGUAUACAAUCUGCCUCAUACUAGAGGAUAGCCCGAAGAAAUUUGGAUUAAUACUCUAUGGUAUCUAAAAAAGGCAUCUUUUUUAGAUUAAAGGUUACGGUAUGAGAUGAGUAUGCGUUCUAUUAGUUUGUAGGUGUGGUAACGGCACACCUAGACUACGAUAGAUAGGGGCCCUGAGAGGGGGACCCCCCACACUGGUACUGAGACACGGACCAGACUCCUACGGGAGGCAGCAGUAAGGAAUAUUGGUCAAUGGACGCAAGUCUGAACCAGCCAUGCCGCGUGCAGGAUGACGGCCCUAUGGGUUGUAAACUGCUUUUAUACAGGAAGAAAAACUUUCUCGUGAGAGAGCUUGACGGUACUGUAAGAAUAAGGAUCGGCUAACUCCGUGCCAGCAGCCGCGGUAAUACGGAGGAUCCAAGCGUUAUCCGGAAUCAUUGGGUUUAAAGGGUCCGUAGGUGGACAGAUAAGUCAGAGGUGAAAUCCUGCAGCUCAACUGUAGAACUGCCUUUGAUACUGUUUGUCUUGAGUUAUUGUGAAGUGGUUAGAAUGUGUAGUGUAGCGGUGAAAUGCAUAGAUAUUACACAGAAUACCGAUUGCGAAGGCAGAUCACUAACAAUUAACUGACACUGAUGGACGAAAGCGUGGGUAGCGAACAGGAUUAGAUACCCUGGUAGUCCACGCCGUAAACGAUGGUCACUAGCUGUUCGGACUUCGGUCUGAGUGGCUAAGCGAAAGUGAUAAGUGACCCACCUGGGGAGUACGUC
rnacentral:rRNA from 1 species